UCUCUUCCCUAGCAACCAUUACUGCCAAUAACCCCUCAGAAAGAGGAUGGGCCCUAGGAGCCCCAUCCAUGACGCAACACUGAUAGCCUGCAUGUGAUGACCACAGCUCUACUGGGCACAUGAAGAAAUCAAGUGCACUUCAGUACUGAGUGGGAUGCCACUGUGAGCGCCUUUUCUGAGGUGACCAAAGAAUGGUUUUGAUUAGAGACCAGAUCCCACUCUGUUGACUGGACUAGCCUCAAGUUCUUGGGUUCAGAUGAUCCUCCUGACUCAGUCUCCUGGAAACACGGACUAUAAAAUAAACUAUUGACAGGAUUUGAAGCAAUAAUUUAAAAACCACAACUUGAGAGUACCUGAAGAAUUGCACUCAGGUGUAAGACAUUCUUUACAUUCCACCAGGAUGGUGCAGCUGGGCGGAUCUUGUCCAUCGCUCUAGCUGAGAUGCCUCACACCUUGUCUUUUCAUAGUAAGCAAAAGCUCAAUGCUUACUGACGGUGAUAAGUGGUGUCAAGAAUCAUGGAAGAGUUGCUGUGAGGCUUAAGCCACCACUUGAAGGACCCUGCUUAAUAGAAGAGUUCAUGAAAAUUCAAGAUUAAGUGGAAGAAAAGUUCGAGGAGCUUUUCCACCUUGGUUGAGAGAAUAUGUGUAAAUGUGAGCUCUGACAUAAACAGAGAGCGGAAGAUGCUCUCCACUUUCCAAGGGACAUGACAACUUCAAUUAGAUAAAGCAAGCAUAUGAUGCUAUGAAUACUGCAGAUGGUGAUGUCCUGGGGAUACUGAGACAAAGGGAAAUCUGUCUAUCCAGAUAUCACUGCCUUAAAAAAAAAACCCAAGACAUUGUAAAGCUACGUAGAAGAAUUGCUGGUGAACUAUACUUACCCUUAGCCUCUUUGGGAGUGAAUUUAACAGUUAAGAGUAUAAAAUUAUUGAAAUGAAAA